AUCACCAUCACCAUCAUCAUCAUCACCCACCAUCAUCAUCAUCAGCAAUCAUCAUCAUCACCAUCAUCACCAUCAUUGUCACAUCACCAUCAACAUCACCAUCACCAUCACUAUCAUCUGUGUUUCACGAUUGAAGAAGCCCAGGCACAGGGAGUUAAGUGGUCACCACAUGAUAAACAAUUACAUUGCUCCAAACCCUACAAAAUCCCCCAUCUGUUUGCUUCUCCUGGGCCAAGAAGAGUAGUGGUGACCCCAGGCUGACUGGCCUCAUGUGGCUAGGGGAGUGGAAGAAUGGGAGGAAGGGCUCACCUCCAUCCUUUCAGGGCAUGACCUGGAAGUUCCUCCCAUGACCUCUGCUCACAGUGCGUUGGCCAGGACCUGGUCACAUGGCCACCUGAGGCUGCAGUGGAGGCUGGGAAAUGGAGCAUUUGUUCUGGUCAACCACGUGCCCUGAUCCCAGGAGGGGCUCUAAUUCCCCGAAGGGGCAGAUGUGGAGGGAAGAGGCCUGAGUCUUCAUUUCUAAGUUCCUGGUGAGCUGGUUCCACAGACCCUGGUCUGAGUAGCAAAGCUUUAGGGGCUCAAACAUCCCUGUGUUCUUUCCCCGUGGGGGCCACCUGCUGGGGCCCGUGGGAGGUUCCUAUUUGGUCCUGUAGCUCAUCAGCGCUCGGGGUCCGUUCUGCAAAGCCUUCUGGCUGACCCCUGAGGACAGACCUGCAUGGUUCCCCCAGCUAAUUCGUGCAGCAUUUCCUGUGGUGGGCUCCCCCUGAGGAUGCAUUGCCGAGUCGCCUGGUGACUGUGUUUGUUUUCUAGACAUUGAUCUGAUGCGUGUUAUGAAAGCACAGAGCUGGCUUCGAAAAGGGGUAAUUUCUCCUGUCGAUAUCAAACACAUUCAACGCAUCACCAAGCCUGCUCAUUACAAUUUCAAAUGUGCUCCGACACAGGAACCCAUAAUCCUCGCCAGUCUCUCUGCCUCAGACUUCGGGGGGAACGGAUCUGAGUCCCAGCGUGGGCAUGUGAAGGCACUGAGCCCCGAUGUGAGGGCUGAGGACCCCUGUGGCACUCCGGGCAGAGGACCGUGUGUCUUCAGUGCGCUGAUGGCAUGGGCGGGUCAGGGCCACAUUGACCAAGGCUGCCAUGUCCCACAGGCUGGACCCCUGGCAUUUCUCCACUCACCCCCACAAACGUCAGCUAAUCUCCCCUGAGGGGAGAACCCUCAGUGCCAAUUCUGCCCGCUGCGCUGCUCUGGCUGAGCCGGGGAGGACACACAGUCCUUUCCCGGGAUUCAACCGUCCACACGGCAGAAGCCAUCUCGAAGGACUCACCCACCCGAAUCCAGCCUCGGGGCGUCACCGUGAGGUGGGGCAGCUUCCUCCAUGCCCCUGCCCCGAGAUCACACUAUUCCACCCACAGAGGGGCCAAGGCUGUCCGGUCCCAGCAGGCUGUUCCUAUUUCCGUCAACAUUAUUGGGAAUAUCCUAAUUCUCACCUCCCCCGCCCGCGUGUGAACCCUCCUCCAGGGUCGAUUCUGAGAAGCAGGAUUGGUGAACCACAGGGCAUGUGUGGUUUCUGCUCUAAUGGAGACACCCAGAUUGCUCUCCACAAAAGCUAUUCAAAGUUGAACAUGCUCUGUGCUCGCUUCGGCAGCACAUAUACAAAGUUGAACAUGCUCACCAACAGAAUAAUCUCCAUGCAAUAUCGUUCAUGCCAGUGACAUCAGCCAUCUUCACUAGGUUCUUGACUUCAGUGGGACAGCUUCCGAUCCUUCUCAUGAAUAUGACAGAAAAUGAGUUUCUACAAGCUGUCUGAAUGUUGCAAGCUUAUAAGACCCUGGCUAGUGUUCCUGGUCAGUGCCUUGAAAGGUUUUGAAAAUGAUAUAUCCAAUUCCUGAACAGAUUACACGGACAUUGGGAUAAAGUCAACCAGAGCUGUUGCCCAAGCAUCCUCCCUAUGUUCAUAACUCUGGUCACGUAAAGAAGGUGAAGAAGACCUUAUCUCUUGGGAAAGUUAACUGAAUAGAUGUCCUGGAUUACCCAUGAGCUGCCCCAGCCGCCAUAACUCUCCGGCCAGAGCCACGGGGAAGACAGAUGGAAAUCUACCCAACAUGGAUCAGCUCACACCGUCACUAACCCUCAUCGCGGCCCCGAGAGCCAUGUGUUUUGAGGUUACUGAGCAGAGGAGGUCCCUGAGUCUCAAGAGGUGUGAGACGUUUGGCCAAGGCUCGAGGCAAGUGAGAUGGGGUGUCGGCCAUCCGGGCCACGGUUCUACACCCCCCCCCCACACACACACAGUGUACAAGGAAGUGAAUAGUGUGAGUUACUGACGGCACUCGUGGAAAAUAAAUGGGUGUUGAGAAUAAAAUAAAAUAAUUAGCCCUAAACAGA